ACGGUACCUACAGAAGAAGCCCCGGCCAACUACGUGCCAGCAGCCGCGGUAACACGUAGGGGGCGAGCGUUGUCCGGAUUUAUUGGGCGUAAAGAGCUCGUAGGCGGCUCAGUAAGUCGGGUGUGAAAACUCUGGGCUCAACCCAGAGACGCCACCCGAUACUGCUGUGGCUAGAGUCCGGUAGGGGAGCGUGGAAUUCCUGGUGUAGCGGUGAAAUGCGCAGAUAUCAGGAGGAACACCAGCGGCGAAGGCGGCGCUCUGGGCCGGAACUGACGCUGAGGAGCGAAAGCGUGGGUAGCAAACAGGAUUAGAUACCCUGGUAGUCCACGCCGUAAACGUUGGGUACUAGGUGUGGGGCGUGGUCAACGCGUUCCGUGCCGAAGCUAACGCAUUAAGUACCCCGCCUGGGGAGUACGGCCGCAAGGCUAAAACUCAAAGGAAUUGACGGGGGC
rnacentral:rRNA from 1 species